UUCUGAAGUUAGUCCACAGCUAUCAAUGUAAGAACCCAUGAGACAGAGGACUGGACUUGAUGAUGUCUCAGAAUCCUCCCACUUCUUGUAUUGUGGUUGCGAGUAACUGUCUCAUUUCCCCCACCAUGCAAGGUGUUCUCAGAGGUCAGAAACUUCUCUCCUUAACUGGCAAGGUGCUUGAAUAUAGUUGGACAUCAACACAUUCUUUGGUGAAUAAGUAUUUGGCAAGUAAUGAAAAACACUGGGUGAAACUGCUGAAACUUCUCUUCUAUUGAAUUCUUUUUGUGGAGAAGGCACAUGGCAAGGAAGCCCUCUCCCUCAUGUGACCUAGUUAAGCCUCUCAGAUGCCACCUUGUUUACCUAUGACAAGGCCAAUACAGGCCUUCCAAAGUCAUAUUCUUUGUCUCAUAAACGAUUAGCUGAACUGCUUGUAUUGACUGAUCAACUGGAACAAGGCUGCAGGAAUCCAGCCAGGGAGGGAGAGAAAACACACAGAGCCCGUGGCAUUCCCGUGGUAAUGCUUAUGGAUUUUCCCACACUGAGACUGCUUCUCACCUCCGGAGAGUGAGCUUAUUUCCUUCCCUUCAGUCUGCACUGAUACUGUAACUGCUUUGAACAUUUAGAAGGAUGGAGAAUCAUGUCUGGAAAUCUCUGCUUCCUUCCUUUUGGAACGCUCACUCUUGGGAUACUCCCUCUUGGAAACUGACUGUCAUCUGUGAGACGCUUCAGCCACAUGAAAAAGCCAAUGGAGGAGAACUGGAUGCUCUGGCUAACAGUCUCUGCUGUGUUUCCAGUCAACAGCCAGCACCACUGCCAGCCACCCGAGUAGGCUAUUUGGGACACUCCAAAUCUUGUGAGCCCUCAGAUGGUCAAAAUCCCAGUCAAUAUCACAUGGAGUAGAAGGUCCCCAGCUGUGUCCAAUCAACCAACCAUCUCAAGAGAGAUGAUAAAAUGACUGUUGUUUUAAGUCAUUAAACUUUGGAAUAGCUUGUCACACAAUGUAAAAAAAAAAAAAUGGGGUUAGAGCUUCCGUGUGUGAAUUUUGGGGAGGGGCACCGUCAGUCCAUAACAAUGUUUAUAUAUGGUUGCCCCUUUUUUAUGGUGGUUGAAAAAUUUUACUGCUAUAAUUAAAAUAUUUACAAGCAAUCAUUCUAUGUCAUGGGUACAAACACAUCAGUUCAACCAUUCAGCCACUCAAUUAUUUACUCCUUAAUUUAAUGGAUACUUACUAAAUGUGUACCAAUAUGGUGAAC